rnacentral:rRNA from 1 species
GACGAACGCUGGCGGCGUGCUUAACACAUGCAAGUCGAACGGAAAGGCCCUGCUUGCAGGGUACUCGAGUGGCGAACGGGUGAGUAACACGUGGGUGAUCUGCCCUGCACUUCGGGAUAAGCCUGGGCAACUGGGUCUAAUACCGGAUAGGAGCCAUUUUUAGUGUGAUGGUUGGAAAGUUUUUUCGGUGUAGGAUGAGCUCGCGGCCUAUCAGCUUGUUGGUGGGGUAAUGGCCUACCAAGGCGGCGACGGGUAGCCGGCCUGAGAGGGUGGACGGCCACAUUGGGACUGAGAUACGGCCCAGACUCCUACGGGAGGCAUCAGUGGGGAAUAUUGCACAAUGGGCGCAAGCCUGAUGCAGCGACGCCGCGUGGGGGAUGACGGCCUUCGGGUUGUAAACUCCUUUCGCUAGGGACGAAGCUUUUUGUGACGGUACCUAGAGAAGAAGCACCGGCUAACUACGUG